rnacentral:rRNA from 1 species
GAUGAACGCUGGCGGCGUGCCUAAUACAUGCAAGUCGAGCGAACAGACGAGGAGCUUGCUCCUCUGACGUUAGCGGCGGACGGGUGAGUAACACGUGGAUAACCUACCUAUAAGACUGGGAUAACUUCGGGAAACCGGAGCUAAUACCGGAUAAUAUAUUGAACCGCAUGGUUCAAUAGUGAAAGACGGUUUUGCUGUAACUUAUAGAUGGAUCCGCGCCGCAUUAGCUAGUUGGUAAGGUAACGGCUUACCAAGGCAACGAUGCGUAGCCGACCUGAGAGGGUGAUCGGCCACACUGGAACUGAGACACGGUCCAGACUCCUACGGGAGGCAGCAGUAGGGAAUCUUCCGCAAUGGGCAAAAGCCUGACGGGGCAACGCCGCGUGAGUGAUGAAGGUCUUCGGAUCGUAAAACUCUGUUAUUAGGGAAGAACAAAUGUGUAAGUAACUAUGCACGUCUUGACGGUACCUAAUCAGAAAGCCACGGCUAACUACGUG